AAGCAGUAGCAAAAGUGACGGCUCUAAUCAGCAGUAUUCGUAGAAACAAUUAUUAGCAAUCAAUAUGUAAUUUUUAUGCCAAAUAAAUAUUCUAAAAUUCAGUAGGUUGCAAAAUGUUUGAAUAUGUGAAUAAACGUUAAAACGAUCAAAAGAAAAAGUAGUGGUUCCAGCAAAUUUUGUAAUUCAAUUUGUUUUAUUUCCCAAAAGGCAGACCAACAAAAAAAAAACCAGUAAAAAAGAACAAAGUAUGGCAACAGCAAAGUAAACGUGUAUGCAGAAGCAGUGGCGAGUGAGCACUUUUCUAUGUACCAUAAGUGCGAGCGGGACGAUGCAUUAAUGCCCCAACUCACUCUGAUCUAUAAAGCAGCAAAUGCAUUUGAGUUUUACCUACUUUGGGGAGUGUAUACAUAAUAUAUUGGAGGCUGGUACUUCCGUCGCUAUCGCAACAUUAAAACAGUGCCGUCUGGUGAACCUUGAAUAAAUGUAAAAAAAAAAACAAACAAUG